rnacentral:rRNA from 1 species
UCGUCGACCUCUGAUGGCUUCUACAUCUCCCAAGAAAAAUAUAUUCAGGAUCUUCUUGCUCGCGCUGCUCUUGGUGAUGAGCGCACAGUUGUGACUCCUAUGGAGCUCAACGUUCAGCUUCGUGCCUCUAAUGGUGACCCUCUUCCUAAUCCCACUCGCUAUCGUCACCUCGUUGGCAGCCUUGUCUAUCUGGCUGUUACAUGCCCUCACAUCUCAUAUCCUGUCCACAUCCUGAGUCAGUUUGUUUCAGCCCCCACCUCUGGCCACUAUAGUCACCUCCUCCGUGUUCUACGAUAUCUUUGUGGCACGAUCUCUCAGCGUCUUUUCUUUCCCCGCUCCAGCUCUCUUGAGCUCCAGGCCUACUCUGAUGCUACCUGGGCUAGUGAUCCCUCUGAUCGACGCUCGCUGUCUGCUUACUAUGUCUUUCUUGGUGGCUUGCUUAUUGCUUGGAAGACAAAGAAGCAGGCUGCAGUUUCUCGCUCGAGUACAGAGGCUGAGUUGCGAGCCAUGGCUAUGUUGACGGCUGAGGUGAUCUGGUUACGAUGGUUACUUGAGGAUUUUGGUGUCUCUGCUACUACCUCAACUCCUCUCCUGUCUGACAGCACAGGUUCUCUCAGUAUUACACGU